GCCCCUGUAGCUCAGGAGGAUAGAGCGACGGUUUCCUAAACCGCAGGUCGGGUGUUCGAAUCGCCCCAGGGGCA
rnacentral:tRNA from 1 species